rnacentral:rRNA from 1 species
GGGAAAGAUUCAUCGGUAUGGGAUGGGGUCGCGUCCUAUCAGCUUGAUGGCGGGGUAACGGCCCACCAUGGCUUCGACGGGUAGCCGGCCUGAGAGGGCGACCGGCCACAUUGGGACUGAGAUACGGCCCAGACUCCUACGGGAGGCAGCAGUGGGGAAUAUUGCACAAUGGGCGCAAGCCUGAUGCAGCGACGCCGCGUGCGGGAUGACGGCCUUCGGGUUGUAAACCGCUUUUGACUGGGAGCAAGCCCUUCGGGGUGAGUGUACCUUUCGAAUAAGCACCGGCUAACUACGUGCCAGCAGCCGCGGUAAUACGUAGGGUGCAAGCGUUAUCCGGAAUUAUUGGGCGUAAAGGGCUCGUAGGCGGUUCGUCGCGUCCGGUGUGAAAGUCCAUCGCUUAACGGUGGAUCCGCGCCGGGUACGGGCGGGCUUGAGUGCGGUAGGGGAGACUGGAAUUCCCGGUGUAACGGUGGAAUGUGUAGAUAUCGGAAAAGAAACA